AUUCGUUUAUGCAGCGAUUAGCGCAUCCACUGCGCAUCUACUGCGUCUAUUAUCUGCGAGUCACGUGACAUCAUUUACCGAACGAUCACCUGCGUGAAUUGACUGCUCAGAUUGUAAUUGGAGUGCACAACGUUUCCAAGUUCAAUUGGCUUAACAAUGGAGAAGACUACAUUCGUUUACGCAGUAGUCCGCAGUACUGCGAGCAGAGCAUCCUGAGCAGGACCUCCGAGAUGGCUGCGCAGAUAGGCAGCAGCUCUGCUUAAACGAACAACAAACUGCGCUGCAGUCGGUUGCGCAGGUGGAGUAAACGAACGACAUCUGCGGCAUUCUGCGGCAGUCUCUGCAUAAACGAAUGCACCCAUAUACAAUUUCCAAAAAAUUCUCGAGAGUUGAAGUAGG